rnacentral:miRNA from 1 species
CUGCUAUCCCGGAUGUUUACGU